AUGCACGCCGGCGGCGUGCCUCAUACAUGCCAGUCGAGCGAACAGACGAGGAGCUUGCUCCUCUGACGUUAGCGGCGGACGGGUGAGUAACACGUGGAUAACCUACCUAUAAGACUGGGAUAACUUCGGGAAACCGGAGCUAAUACCGGAUAAUAUAUUGAACCGCAUGGUUCAAUAGUGAAAGACGGUUUUGCUGUCACUUAUAGAUGGAUCCGCGCCGCAUUAGCUAGUUGGUAAGGUAACGGCUUACCAAGGCAACGAUGCGUAGCCGACCUGAGAGGGUGAUCGGCCACACUGGAACUGAGACACGGUCCAGACUCCUACGGGAGGCAGCAGUAGGGAAUCUUCCGCAAUGGGCGAAAGCCUGACGGAGCAACGCCGCGUGAGUGAUGAAGGUCUUCGGAUCGUAAAACUCUGUUAUUAGGGAAGAACAAAUGUGUAAGUAACUAUGCACGUCUUGACGGUACCUAAUCAGAAAGCCACGGCUAACUACGUG
rnacentral:rRNA from 1 species